rnacentral:rRNA from 1 species
AUUGAACGCUGGCGGCAGGCUUAACACAUGCAAGUCGAGCGAGCGGCGGACGGGUGAGUAAUGUCUGGGAAACUGCCUGAUGGAGGGGGAUAACUACUGGCAACGGUAGCUAAUACCGCAUACCAUCAGAUGUGCACAGAUGGGAUUAGCUAGUAGGUGGGGUAAUGGCUCACCUAGGCGACGAUCCCUAGCUGGUCUGAGAGGAUGACAGUCAACACUGGAACUGAGAAACGGUCCUGACGCCUACGGGAGGCAGCAGUGGGAAAUGUAGCACAUGGGGCGCAAGCUUAAUGCAGCCAUGCCGCGUGUGUGAAGGUGGCGUUCGGGUUGUAAAGCACUUUCAGCGAGAAGGCGUUACCCGCAGAAGAAGCACCGGCUAACUCCGUGCCAGCAGCCGAGGUAAUUC